rnacentral:miRNA from 1 species
AAUCCAAUGCUCUUUCCACCA